rnacentral:lncRNA from 1 species
ACACAUCUCCUCACUUGCAUGUUCACCCACACAGCCUGGGAUCCUUUGAAAUGAUGCGUAAAAACAAAUAAAAUAUUGAGUAGAUGAUUCUCAUCCAUUUUACCAUAAUUUCCAUGUGCCUUAAUUCUUAUGUAGAUUUUAAUUUGUAGAAGAGUCCUCUUUGGAAAAAUCAGCAUAAAAAACACAUGGGGAAAAUAGAAAAAAGAAGACUACUCAAGGGACACAUCUCCUCACUUACAUGCUCACCUGUGCGGGCAGGAAUCCCUUAUACGUGAGUUGGGGGAUAAAAUGCUAAGUAAAAAUGAAUAAAAAACUAAGUAGAUAAUUCUUAU